rnacentral:lncRNA from 1 species
UUUUCUAUGUAGAAAAUUCUUUAUUCUCAGUGCUGCCUGGUCAUGCAUCAGUUCAGCAGCAGGGCUCAAUACAUUCAGUUCCCAGCAAAAUGAGAGGGGACAAGAAGGCUCAGCUUUCUGCAGGACCAAGCCUCAUGCAUUCCUUGGCGCACCUGAUCCCGCAGGUCCCAUUUGAACACAAUCUUGCUGGCUUCAAUGGGAAUUUUGCAGGGGUGAGUGCUGCAGAAGGGCCCCCCGGCUGUCCAGUACUUGCAGUCUGGUGUGGAAGUCACCCAAAUGACAUAUGGCAUUCCAAAAACAAAAGUGAGUUAGUGAAUACAGAAAAUAAUAUAUCUACAUAAUUUACAGUGUUAUGUUUUUGCAACCAUAUUAACAUUCAACUGCUCACGAACAAUCCAACUGAUAUGCAUGGAAAGGUAGCAGCGUGCAGUAAAUAUUUCAACAUCCUUUAUGCAAUUAGAAGCACUAGAUCUUAGUCCUUCCUCAUUUCAGGACUUCCUGCCUAUCCUGCCACCCAGAGCCCAGUUCUCCCCACUGAGCCCUCUGAAGUCAAUCCUCACAGCACUUAGGCUGGUUCAGAUUGCAUCUGCACCUCUGCCAUAGGCCCCUCAUACCAUGCAAGGGGUGCAAGGCACCUUCAGCUGCAGGUCCUCCCUCAGCUAUCACUCAUGUCCACCCCUGCAGCCUCCCCUCUGUUGUGCCAGUGCUCAUCUGUGAAGCCACUCGCUGAACCAGGUGGUGGGACUGAUCCAGCUGGAAAACCGCCUGUCCAUAAGAAUGCAGAGGGUUAUCUCCCAACCAGACCAACCCCACAGCCCAGCUCACGAUGCAACCAUGCCCGGGGCUGGUGCUGGUGUGUGUGCAUACACAUGCAUGUCAGUGCCAGCCACCUGCACCCAAGCAAAAUGGUUGCAAGUGGCUAGCAAACGUGAAUGGCAGGACUUUGCCUCCAGCUUGCACUACUGUAAAUUAUAUCUUGCAUUACAUUACAGCAGAGGUAAGUCAGCCUCAGAAGAUCUACUUGAAUGAGCCACAACCAAAGGAUUGGAUGCUGUGAAGAGAAAGGUUCUCCCGAAGCAAGGUUCUCUUUAAGGUUGUGGCAUCUGGUUUAGCUGGGGAGGAAAGAAAAACUUAGGGACUUAAAGCAGGGAUGGAAACCACUGGUCUUUCUUACACUUUAUUUUAGUAAGCAAAAAGCCUAUUGCUGCUGUACAAUGUUAUACAAUGAACCGCCAUAGUUCUCAUGUCACUAGUCCAUACAAAAUGUGCUGUGACUACCAUGUUUAUGCCUGCAUGCCAAAAGAAUGUACAAAGUUGCACUAAGCUGUUUCUCUUCCACUUUUUUUUGACAUUCUUAAACUCUGACUUUUACAGUGUUGCAGACACUUUUGUGCAUACUCAGGUAUCACACACCAUCCUGGUUAUGGAAGGUCUUUGCCCCAGAUUAAAAAAAUCAAGUGCUAUGCAUCUCUCAAGCCAUCAUCAGAAAUGUAAACCACCAAGAAAACUUGCUCUCUUAAGUAACCUUAAAAAGAAAGUCUUUAACAAAUCUACUGAAAAGGAGACAUUGCUAACAAUAGGGUUUUCAGAAUGGUCCAAGUUGUUUCUAGAAGUUGUCCAAGCAUUUUCUCUUCGCUCACUUUUUGCUUUAUAAAGCUAAUACUGUAUAAAAGGGCUUUUGAAGCAUGUGACCUUCAUUUCAUUAUUUUUUAAAAAUUGGAAAAAGGAGUAAAUUUAGAAACAUUUUGCUCAAUUGUGGAAAACAUCUGUAUUACAAUAGAAUCUCCUUCGCUUCUUAUAUUUUCAGUACAAAAGACAAGUAAAUAAAGAGACCCUGCAUCUUCACAGUCUGGUACUCCUCUAAGUCACUAAAAUCUAUGCAAAAUAGGUAUAAAAUACAAGGGGUCUUCUUCUCCUGUAUACCAAGACCCCACCAAACCCCUCUGGGGAAAAAGUUCCCAGCUAAAUAAAACCUCAUUAGUUUUUAUAUCAGCCAAGGUAGUAGUAGUAUUUUAGCUCCUCUCCAACAAGAUGUAAAUGCUUGGAUCAGCAAAAAGGCCCAGGGAGAAGAACAGGUCCGGCAUUUCAAGAGCCAGGUGCUGGUUUAUACCCUUAUGGCUUCAAAGUUAAGUUGCACUUCAGUUCAUGAUGCCACGAGGUUUGAGAUAUAAUUUAGCAGUGUAUUAAAAAAGCGCAAAGCUUGAAGUUGGUUGUCAUGCAGAAGUGGGAUAGGCGAUGGCUAUUUUUAAACUGAUUUGUAUGAAAGCAGCAUUUGGCUUUGGAUCAUAUGGUGUUGGAGUACCAGGGUUGGUUACAACUGCUGAUACUUAUUACUCCCAGUUAGUAAUUCAGCACUUGCAAACUCAGGUGUCAGUAAACCAACAUCCAUAUGUCUGACACCAGUACUCCCCUGGGUUUCCUCCUUCCCAUUGUUUUUGUUAAGCCUUCACGUGCACUUCUGCAGUGCCAACCACUAUUAAACUAGUGUUUUUUCAGGAGAAAUUUCUCCAAUUUUGGUACUUUGUCAAAAACCCUGUUUAACUAAAAAGAAAAGCGCAGGCGGUGUUUGCUCACUGCGCUGGUUCCUCAGAAAGGUCACUGGUGAGGACUCAGCCCUCUCACCACACACUUCCUGCAUCCUCGGUACUCUACAUUCAUGUCAGUGAAUGCUACUCUCGAACACAAAUCGAAGAGAUAAGUCAGCGACAAAACUACUUCUAGGCUGAUAACGGCAGAAUGCUACCAAGACAACUCCAUAGAAAACCCACUGAAGCAGGAGCAAAAUUCAGGUCACUUCUUAGCAAAGCUCAUCACAGAUUAUUAUUAUUAUUAAAUUUUUUUAAACCCUUUUGUAAAACCUUUAUCCUGGAAGCCAGAUAUCCCCAUGUGAUGUGCCAAUUCGAACACGCUAAUGUGGGACCACCUGACCCCACCUGGUACCAAAGGCUUCCGCAUUUUUUUAGCUUCUCAGAAAAUCACUGCUGACUGACACCCAUCUGUUGGUGAUCGGCUUCUGGUUCCUCUUCUUCCACAUCUGCGUUAUACUCUUCAAAUGCAUCAUCAUCAACAUCUGGAAGCCCAAGCACUUACAGGUCUGAAGGAUUUGAAGACUUUUUCCAAUAUUUCAUGGAGUGUCUUCUUCCCGCAGGAAGAGAUGUAAUCCUGUGCGAGCUGCAGAAAAGGUAAGCAGUCCUCACUUUCACUCCACACAUGGAAAUUGUCGCCGCAGGCGGCCUCCGGGCAAAGCACGUAGAAGGAGACGCCGGGCUCGGCGUAGAAGUCC